GAUGAACGCUGGCGGCGUGCUUAACACAUGCAAGUCGAACGGAAAGGCCCAAGCUUGCUUGGGUACUCGAGUGGCGAACGGGUGAGUAACACGUGGGUGAUCUGCCCUGCACUUCGGGAUAAGCCUGGGAAACUGGGUCUAAUACCGGAUAGGACCACUUCUUGGAUGUUGUGGUAGAAAGUUUUCUCGGUGUGGGAUGAGCUCGCGGCCUAUCAGCUUGUUGGUGGGGUAAUGGCCUACCAAGGCGUCGACGGGUAGCCGGCCUGAGAGGGUGUACGGCCACAUUGGGACUGAGAUACGGCCCAGACUCCUACGGGAGGCAGCAGUGGGGAAUAUUGCACAAUGGGCGCAAGCCUGAUGCAGCGACGCCGCGUGGGGGAUGACGGCCUUCGGGUUGUAAACUCCUUUCGCUAGGGACGAAGCGUUUUUGUGACGGUACCUGGAGAAGAAGCACCGGCUAACUACGUG
rnacentral:rRNA from 1 species